UACGGAGGGUGCAAGCGUUAAUCGGAUUUACUGGGCGUAAAGGGCGCGUAGGUUGCUUGGCAAGUCAGAUGUGAAAUCCUGGAGCUCAACUCCAGAACUGCAUUUGAAACUACCUUUCUAGAGGAUAGGAGGAGAAAAUGGAAUUCCACAAGUAGCGGUGAAAUGCGUAGAUAUGUGGAAGAACACCGGUGGCGAAGGCGAUUUUCUAGCUUAUUCCUGACGCUGAUGCGCGAAAGCUAGGGGAGCAAACAGG
rnacentral:rRNA from 1 species